rnacentral:rRNA from 1 species
AUUGAACGCUGGCGGCAGGCCUAACACAUGCAAGUAGAACGAGUGGCAGACGGGUGAGUAAUGUCUGGGAAACUGCCUGAUGGAGGGGGAUAACUACUGGAAACGAUAUCUAAUACCGCAUACCAUCAGAUGUGACCAGAUGGGAUUGGCUUAUUGGGAGGUUAACGGUUCACCAAGGCGACGAGCCCUAGCUGGUCUGAGAGGAUGAACAGCCACAGUGGAACGUGGACAUGGUCCAGAAUCCUCCGCGAGGCAGCAGUGGGGAAUAUGGCACAAUGGGCGAAAGCCUGAUGCAGCCAUCCGGCGUGUAUGAAGAAGGCCGUCGGGUUGUAAAGUACUUUAAUCGGGGAGGCGUUACCCGCAGAAGAAGGACAGGCGAAUUCCGUGCCAGCAGCCGCGGUAAUAC